GUGAUAGAUUUUGUAUAUGGUACAAAAUAUGUCAUUUUACUAAAAUGAUCUACUAUCACCAAUACAGAAUCACAUGAAUCUAAGAUAAGAAGAUUUGUAAUAAAAUCCAUAGAAAUAAAAGAUCAUAGUUGUUCUAGAAUAGGUAAUGGCUGAAUAAGUUUAUAAGAUCAAUGACAAGGAAUUUUUUACCUUAAAAAAAU
rnacentral:lncRNA from 1 species